AGUCAACGGCAAUGGAUCGUGACAUCAUCUUGCAAGUUACCGCACCCUUACUUCUAAGCUGGCUGUGACACAGGAUUUGACCAACACAGGAUUUGACCAACACUGGAUUUGACCAACGCAAGAUUUUACCAAUACACAGGAUUGGACCAAGGCAGGAUUUGACCACAUAUGGUUUGACCAAUAUAGGAUUUGACCAACAAACUAACAAGAUAACAGCCUGGCAUGAAAUUAACUGCAAUGGUUUGUGACAUCUUCUUGCAAGCAUGUUACCUUGCAACGUCAUUACUGAGCUGGCAGUCACAGGAUUUGACAAUCACAGGAUUGGACCAACACAGGAUUGGACCAUCACAGGAUUGGACCAACUCAGGAUUCAACCAUCACAGGAUUUGACCAACACAAGAUUGACAACAUAGGAUUGGACCAGUACAGGAUUUGACGAACACAGGAUUGGACCAACACAGGAUUGGACCAUCACAGGAUUGGACCAACUCAGGAUUCGACCAUCACAGGAUUAGACCAUCACAGGAUUUGACCAUAACAGGAUUCGACCAUCACAGGAUUAGACAACACAGGAUCGGACAACACAGGAUUGGACCAACACAUGAUUGGACCAGCACAGGAUUGGACCAACACAGGAUUGGACCAUCACAGGAUUGGACCAACACAGGAUCGGACAACACAGGAUUGGACCAACUCAGGAUUCGACCAUCACAGGAUUGGACCAUCACAGGAUUCGACCAUCACAGGAUUAGACAACACAGGAUCGGACAACACAGGAUUGGACCAACACAGGAUUGGACCAACACAGGAUCGGACAACACAGGAUUGGACCGACACAGGAUUGGACCUACACAGGAUUGGACCAUCACAGGAUUGGACCAACACAGGAUCGGACCAGCACAGGAUUGGACCAACACAGGAUUGGACCAACUCAGAAAUGGACCAUAACAGGAUUUGAUCAACACACUACACGAUGAAAGCCUUGGAUUGGACGUAAUUCUGGUUUCAUCAAGAGAACAUCAGUGACUCAAGAUCCACACAAGUUCUUAUGGAUGUGUUUGAUCAAGACAGAAGAGGCAUGCUAUCUAUUGAAAUGGACAUCUUGAAGAACUGUAAGCUACCUUCUAAUUGACUUGAGAUCCACACAAGUUCUUAUGGAUGUGUUAGAUGAAGACAGAAGAGGCAUGCUAUCUAUUGAAAUGGACAUCUUGAAGAACUGUAAGCUACCUUCUAAUUGACUUGAGAUCCACACAAGUUCUUAUGGAUGUGUUUGAUCAAGACAGAAGAGGCAUGCUAUCAAUUGGAAUGGACAUCUUGAAGAACUAUUGGAUGUGAUUUUGGUUUCAUCAAGAGAACAUCAGUGAGGAAGAACCCAAGACUGUGACCUACUAAUUGACUCAAGAUCAGCACAAAUUCACAUGGAUGUGUUUGAUCAAGACAGAGGAGGCAUGCUAUGAAUUGGAAUGGACAUCUUGAAGAACUGUAAGCUGCCUGCUAAUUGACUCAAGAUCCACACAAGUUCUCAGGGAUGUGUUUGAUCAAGACAGAAGAGGCAUGCUAUCAAUUGGAAUGGACAUCUUGAAGAACUAUUGGACUUGAUUCUGGUUUCAUCAAGACCGAUUGACCUAAACUCUGACCUGCUAAUUGACUUAAGAUGUACACAAGUUUUUAUGGAUGUGUUUGAUCAAGACAAAAGAGGCAUGCUAUCACUUGGAAUGGACAUCUUGAAGAACUGUAAGCCACCUGCUAAUUGACUUAAGAUCUACACAAGUUCUUAUGGAUGUGUUUGAUCAAGACAAAAGAGGCAUGCUUUCAAUUGGAAUGGACAUCUUGAAGAACUGUAAGCUACUUGCAAAUUGACUCGAGAUCUACACAAGUUCUCAUGGAUGUGUUUGAUCAAGACAGAAGAGGCAUGCUAUCAAUUGGAAUGGACAUCUCGAAGAACUGUUAGCUACUUGCUAAUUGACUUAAGAUCUACACAAGUUCUUAUGGAUGUGUUUGAUCAAGACAGAAGAGGCAUGCUAUCAAUUGGAGUGGACAUCUUGAAGAUAUGUAAGCUACUGCCAAGUGCAUUUUGAUCAGUUAAAAGGCACUAGACACCUUUGGUAAUUGUCAAAGACUAGUAUUCCGACGACUUGGUGUAUACACCAAGAUUUGUCAUUCGGGAUACACCCCGAAUGACAAAUCUGUGAACAUUUUACUCAAUUGGUCAUCAAAUUUGCAAGAAAAUAAUGAAAGAAA